UCCUGCCAGCAGGUGUCCAGACCAAUGAGGAGCUCUGAAGCUGCUUUGGAUGGGUGUCAGGAGCUAUUGGGGUCAAGGCCCAUGGGAAGGACCAGAGCUCAGUGUGGCCCUGGACUCUGGGUAUUUGCUGUAGCGUGGGAAGUUGACUAACACCCUCGGAGUAGUAGUAGGAGUGAAGGACAGACAGGAAAGCAGGAGGAAAAGGCCUGGCUGCUGGGCAGGCAGGACUGAAACAGCACUGGGAACACUAGAAGCAACCCUGUAUCCUGACUGGGAGAACCCUGACAAGCUGUGCAGCACUGGGCAAAUCUCUCCACUUCUCUGACCC